CCUACGGGAGGCAGCAGUAGGGAAUAUUGCACCAUGGACGGAAGUCUGAUGCAGCAACGCCGCGUGAGUGAUGAAGGCCUUCGGGUCGUAAAACUCUUUUCAAGGGGAAGAGGAAGGACGGUACCCUUGGAAUAAGCAUCGGCUAACUACGUGCCAGCAGCCGCGGUAAU
rnacentral:rRNA from 1 species